rnacentral:tRNA from 1 species
CCCGCCAUAGCUCAACGGCAGAGCAGCCGGCUGUAGACCGGCAGGUUGUGUGUUCAAGGGCCCUUUUCUUAAAAGAAAAGCGCGCGCGUAAAAGAACGCGGCACGGCUGAACAAAUCACACUGGCGGGA